rnacentral:rRNA from 1 species
CCUAGCCCUAAACGAUGCAGACUAGACGUCGGCGGUGUAAUAGCUGUCGGUGUCCAAGCUAACGCGAUAAGUCUGCCGCCUGGGGACUACGGCCGCAAGGUUAAAACUCAAAGGAAUUGACGGGUCCCCGCACAAGCAGCGGAGCGUGUGGUUUAAUUCGUUGCUACACGAAGAACCUUACCUGGGUUUGACAUAGCAGUGGUAGGAAAGUGAAAACGGACCGACCCUUCGGGGAGCUGUUACAGGUGUUGCAUGGCUGUCGUCAGCUCGUGUCGUGAGAUGUUCGGUUAAGUCCGCUAACGAGCGCAACCCGUGUUGUGUGUUACAAGUGUCACACAAUACCGCCGGUAUUAAGCCGGAGGAAGGUACGGAUGACGUCAAGUCAGCAUGACCUUUAUAUCCAGGGCUACACACACGCUACAAUGGACAGUACAACAGGUUGCCAAGCCGCGAGGCGGAGCCAAUCCCAUAAAGCUGUCCUCAGUUCAGAUUGUAGGCUGCAACUCGCCUGCAUGAAGUCGGAGUUGCUAGUAAACGCAGGUCAGCUAUAC